UUGUCGUCAGCUCGUGUCGUGAGAUGUUGGGUUAAGUCCCGCAACGAGCGCAACCCUUGAUCUUAGUUGCCAGCAUUUAGUUGGGCACUCUAAGGUGACUGCCGGUGACAAACCGGAGGAAGGUGGGGAUGACGUCAAAUCAUCAUGCCCCUUAUGACCUGGGCUACACACGUGCUACAAUGGAUGGUACAAAGGGCUGCAAGACCGCGAGGUCAAGCCAAUCCCAUAAAACCAUUCUCAGUUCGGAUUGUAGGCUGCAACUCGCCUACAUGAAGCUGGAA
rnacentral:rRNA from 1 species